AGACACUGACAAAAAUAUUUAAGGUGUUAGAAUAAAGCUAAAUAUCCCUGCAGCGCCACAGCACGUUGCUUGCGCAUAACUGGGACCACCUGCCCAUUGCAGGUGGCCCUUUUAACUGCCAGCUACAGGG
ensembl:snoRNA